GAUGAACGCUGGCGGCGUGCCUAACACAUGCAAGUCGAGCGGAAGGACGAGGCUCUUGCUUGGAUGCUGUUAGGGGCGGAUGGGUGAGUAACACGAGUAUACCCUGCCUAUAAGAAUGACAUACUUACGGGAAAGCGGAUAUAAUAUACGACCAUAUUUUGAACCGCGUGGUUCAUCAGUGAAAGACGGUCUUGCUGUCACUACUUGAGGGAUCCGAGCUGCAUUAGCAAGUUGGUAGGGUAACGGCGUACCAAGGCGACGAUGCGUAGCCGAUCUGAGAGGAUGAUCGGCCACACUGGAACUGAGACACGGUCCAGACUCCUACGGGAGGCAGCAGUAGGGAAUCUUCGGCAAUGGGCGAAAGCCUGACGCAGCAACGCCGCGUGUGUGAAGAAGGUCUUCGGAUCGUAAAGCUCUGUUAUUUGGGAAGAACAGAUGUGUAAUUAUCCGUGGACAUCUUGACGGUACCUAAUCAAAAAGCCACGGCUAACUACGUG
rnacentral:rRNA from 1 species